UACGUAGGGUGCGAGCGUUAAUCGGAAUUACUGGGCGUAAAGCGUGCGCAGGCGGUUUUACAAGCUGGAUGUGAAAGCCCCGGGCUCAACCUGGGAGGUGCAUUCAGGACUGUGAAGCUCGAGUGCGGCAGAGGGAGGUGGAAUUCCAGGUGUAGCAGUGAAAUGCGUAGAGAUCUGGAGGAACACCGAUGGCGAAGGCAGCCUCCUGGGCC
rnacentral:rRNA from 1 species